AACGGCUACCACAUCUAAGGAAGGCAGCAGGCGCGCAAGUUACCCAAUCCCGACACGGGGAGGUAGUGACAAGAAAUAACAAUACAGGGCCUUCGGGUCUUGUAAUUGGAAUGAGUACAAUUUAAACCCCUUAACGAGGAACAAUUGGAGGGCAAGUCUGGUGCCAGCAGCCGCGGUAAUUCCAGCUCCAAUAGCGUAUAUUAAUGUUGUUGCAGUUAAAAAGCUCGUAGUUGGAUUUUGGGCUAACUUGGCCGGUCCCGCUUUCUUUUGUGCUCUAACGGGUGCAGAGGGGAGUGGUUGUUUACUGGUUUCCCAAGGGGGAUCAAUUUCUGUGUGAGGGAGGGGGGUAACCUCUUUUCUUGCUCAGGGUUGGUUUCUCUAAGGUUAGCCUUAUACCCUUCUUCUAAAGACUUGGUAUACUCUUAAUCGGGCGUACCAAGGAUUUAGGACUUUUACUUUGAAAAAAUUAGAGUGUUCAAAGCAGGCAACUUUUUUGCUUGAAUACAUUAGCAUGGAAUAAUAAAAUAGGACUUUUGGUCUUAUUUUGUUGGUUUCUAAGACCGAAGUAAUGAUUAAUAGGGAUAGUGGGGGUGGUUAGUAUUUAAUUGU
rnacentral:rRNA from 1 species